rnacentral:tRNA from 2 species
GCACUUGUCGGUGGGGUGCGUCGGUUUCCUAAACCGUGCGUCGCAGGUUCGAAUCCUGCCGGGGGCA